CUAUUCCUCAUACCCAACUAUUCCAUAUAACGCCGGUGUAAUGCCGCCUUCUAUCCUCUGUGCCUCCACCACCCACCGCCGGCUGGAAAUCGCUGUCGGCGGCGGCGGAGCUCCAAACGACCCCAAAAGUUCGCCACCAACUCUCCUUCAUCUCCUCUUUCCAACCCCCUUAAUCUCUCCCCUCAAAUCACAACCGAUAGUCUCGAGUCUAAGAUGGAAAUUCUGGACCAAAACAUCGGCUCACCCAAAUCCGACCAAAUUUUCACCACUGCCUCACCUGCCUUCCCUUGUCAUGAAUCUCCACUUGGUUGCUGUCAAGCACCACCGGAACGUUUUGGUCUGUUAAUCUAGGGUUAUAAAUUGGAAUCUGGUUGGGAUCUCAGGCAUCGAGUGGUCUCUUAAUUGAUGCUAUAUGUUUCAUAAACAUAUAACAUUCAUUAAAAGACCAACCUCAAUAAACUUGGCC
rnacentral:lncRNA from 1 species